GAUGAACGCUGGCGGCGUGCCUAAUACAUGCAAGUCGAGCGAACAGACGAGGAUCUUGCUCCUCUGACGUUAGCGGCGGACGGGUGAGUAACACGUGGAUAACCUACCUAUAAGACUGGGAUAACUUCGGGAAACCGGAGCUACUACUGGAUAAUAUAUUGAACCGCAUGGUUCAAUAGUGAAAGACGGUUUUGCUGUCACUUAUCGAUGGAUCCGCGCCGUAUUAGCUAGUUGGUAAGGUAACGGCUUACCAAGGCAACGAUGCGUAGCCGACCUGAGAGGGGGAUCGGCCACACUGGAACUGAGACACGGUCCAGAGUCCUACGGGAGGCAGCAGUAGGGAAUCUUCCGCAAUGGGCGAAAGCCUGACGGAGCAACGCCGCGUGAGUGAUGAAGGUCUUCGGAUCGUAAAACUCUGUUAUUAGGGAAGAACAAAUGUGUAAGUAACUAUGCACGUCUUGACGGUACCUAAUCAGAAAGCCACGGCUAACUACGUG
rnacentral:rRNA from 1 species